rnacentral:rRNA from 1 species
CUGCAACCCGCCUGCAUGAAGUUGGAAUCGCUAGUAAUCGCGGAUCAGCAUGCCGCGGUGAAUACGUUCCCGGGCCUUGUACACACCGCCCGUCACACCAUGAGAGUCGGGAACACCCGAAGUCCGUAGCCUAACCGCAAGGGGGCGCGGCCGAAGGUGGGUUCGAUAAUUGGGGUGAAGUCGUAACAAGGUAAC